ensembl:processed_transcript
AUGGCUGCCAAACCCAUGUGCUCCAAAUGCCAUUGCACACCCAAAGGAUCAACAAAUGCAUUUAUAUGAACUGGGAUUAUUAUUUUUCAUCAUUACGGACAUGCACUAUGAACAUGUGUGAGCUGGAUGGGUGUGGAUCUCUAAUACGGAGGCUGGAGAUUUAUUUGGAUUUACUCAAAGCUUGUUUGAAUUGUUGUCAUUGAGGAAACUGGAGCCUGAUAUUUAUGCUGGGUUUGAUAAGGACUCAUGGCCCAUGACCGAUCCCUCUCUGCCAGGUUAUCUGAGUGUUAUAGAGGCCAGCGAUGACUCCUCCGAGUGCACCUCACAAAUCCUUCACACCCUUUAAAUCGUGACAGAUUCUGAGCAAUGGUUGCCACGCUUCACCUCGGGCAUUUUAAUCAAGCUCAGCGCAGUUAUCCAUUCACUCCUUUGAUUUUGCAGACACUUUUUUUCAAAGCUGGUGUCUUGGAUCUCUUGUUUCUCUCAAAAGAUUUUAAAUCUGGUAAUUUUUAUAUAUUUUUUAUGAUUAAAUUGGAAUGUAAUGU